AACGAACGCUGGCGGCAUGCCUAACACAUGCAAGUCGAACGAGACCUUCGGGUCUAGUGGCGCACGGGUGCGUAACGCGUGGGAACCUGCCCUUAGGUUCGGAAUAACAGUUAGAAAUGACUGCUAAUACCGGAUAAUGUCUUCGGACCAAAGAUUUAUCGCCUUUGGAUGGGCCCGCGUAAGAUUAGGUAGUUGGUGGGGUAAUGGUCUACCAAGCCGACGAUCUUUAGCUGGUCUGAGGGGAUGAUCAGCCACACUGGGACUGAGACACGGCCCAGACUCCUACGGGAGGCAGCAGUGGGGAAUAUUGGACAAUGGGCGAAAGCCUGAUCCAGCAAUGCCGCGUGAGUGAUGAAGGCCUUAGGGUUGUAAAGCUCUUUUACCAGGGAUGAUAAUGACAGUACCUGGAGAAUAAGCUCCGGCUAACUCCGUGCCAGCCGCCGCGGUAA
rnacentral:rRNA from 1 species